rnacentral:rRNA from 1 species
UACGGGGGGAGCAAGCGUUGUUCGGAUUUACUGGGCGUAAAGGGCGCGUAGGCGGCCAGUGCAAGUCAGUUGUGAAAUCUCCGAGCUUAACUCGGAAAGGUCAACUGAUACUGCUCGGCUAGAGUGCGGAAGGGGCAACUGGAAUUCUUGGUGUAGCGGUGAAAUGCGUAGAUAUCAAGAGGAACACCUGCGGCGAAGGCGGGUUGCUGGGCCGACACUGACGCUGAGGCGCGAAAGCGUGGGGAUCAAACAGG